rnacentral:misc_RNA from 1 species
CCGUGCCUUCUCCACCAGAGCACUGCUGUAGACAGUCCGCCUACUUCGACAGUUCUUGUCCGAAGUACUUGCUACCGGGGGACUACUUUCCGAGUUGCGCUCGACGUGCACCAGCUUCUCACUCGCAUUGUUUGCUUGCGGACUGCUUUACUGCGCUCGCAGACUUGGCCGUUACUACAGAACCCAAAGCGAGAACAAAACUCAUUCACCAUGCUGCGUCGCUGCACGGUGCCCCGAAUGAACCGGGGUCAUUUGGCUCCCACACCGUCCAAGUACUCGGACCGUCCAGGCAUGUGGGGACCGGGUGCCGGCCCGGUAAAGGACACAUUAGCGCGUCGAACGAUGUUCUACCGCAUGCUCGUUAUGAACAAGAUAGGCUUUUGGACAAAGCCGUUUCGCACGAACCGCGCUCGGUGGAUCUGGCGAAAGACACAGAUGCAGCUGUGGAAGACGAUGGUGAUGUCGAUGGUGUUCAUCUGCGUUAUCCUCUUUUGUAACAUUUGGCUGUCCUUCGUGUACCAUGCGUACACCGUCGGCCCCACAACCCCGGUUCUGGAGCGCAAGGUGCGCGAGCACCGGGUGUCGAAGCAGAUUAUGCAGAUGGUGCGCGAGCGUGAGCGUGAUAUAACGCAGGAGGAAGAGGUGGAGAAGGCACGUGCCAUCAUAGAGUCACAAAAGCGAUGAGCGGUUUUGUGUCUUGAUGAGGGGAGGGGAGCGGCAUCAUCUGCUCUGCUUUGAUGCUUGUGUUUCGUGUGUGUGUGUGUGCGUGCUGUUUUCGUUGAGCCACCGUCCGGCCUCCGUCUUUGUGUUUUCUUUUGUUAAUUUGUAUGCGCGCCAGGCGCUGAUCGGCGUUGCGACGUACGCUUGUGGGUUCGUACGUUGUAUGUUUCUGCCAAUGCGCCUUCAGUCGGUUUUGCGUUAUGCUCAUGGAAGGGCUGGAGAGUCUUCACGUUACGCCCUCUCACUCUUCUACGUUGUCCACAUGGAUUC